GCUCUAAUAGUAUAAUAUAUAUAUAUAUUACCUUGGUCUUGUAAACCAAAAAUGAAGUCCCCAAUCUUCUUAGAGCA
rnacentral:tRNA from 2 species